CCUACGGGAGUCCGCAGUAGGGAAUCUUCCACAAUGGGCGCAAGCCUGAUGUAGCACCACCGCGUGAUUGAAGAAGGGUUUCGGCUCGUAACGCUCUGUUGUUGGAGAAGAACGUGCGUGAGAGUCACUGUUCACGCAGUGACGGUAUCCAACAAGAAAGUCACGGCUAACUACGUGCCAGCAGCCGCGGUAAUCCGUAGGGGGCAAGCGUUAUCCGUAUUUAUUGGGCGUAAAGAGAGCGAAGGCGGUUGCUUAGGUCUGAUGUGAAAGCCUUCGGCUUAACCGAAGAAGUGCAUGGGAAACGAGGCGACGUGAGGGCAGAAGAGGACAGUGGAACUCCAUGUGUAGCGGUGGAAGGCGUAGAUAUAUGGAAGAACACCAGUGGCGAAGGCGGCUGUCUGGUCUGCAACUGACGCUGAGGCUCGAAAGCAUGGGUAGCGAACAGGAUUAGAUACCCGGGUAGUC
rnacentral:rRNA from 1 species